CAAUAGCGUAUAUUAAAGUUGUUGCAGUUAGAACGCUCGUAGUCGGAUUUCGGGGCGGGCCGACCGGUCUGCCGAUGGGUAUGCACUGGUCGGCGCGUCCUUCCUUCCGGAGACCGUCCCUACUCUUAACUGAGCGGGGGCGGGAGACGGGACUUUUACUUUGAAAAAAUCAGAGUGUUUCAAGCAGGCAGCUCGCUCUUGCAUGGACUAGCAUGGGAUAAUGAAAUAGGACUUUGGUGCUAUUUUGUUGGUUUCGAACACCGAAGUAAUGAUGAGAAGGGACAGUCAGGGGCACUCGUAUUCCGCCGAGAGAGGUGAAAUUCUCAGACCAGCGGAAGACGAACCACUGCGAAAGCAUUUGCCAGGGAUGUUUUCACUGA
rnacentral:rRNA from 1 species